rnacentral:rRNA from 1 species
AGCAGCCGCGGUAAUUCCAGCUCCAAUAGCGUAUAUUAAAGUUGUUGCAGUUAAAAAGCUCGUAGUUGAAUUUCGGGAUCAGUAUGUUGGUCGUGCUUCGGUACGUACUGUCAUUACUGGUUUCUACCUUCUGAAGAACCUUGAUGUCAUUAAUUUGGUGUCUUGGGGAAUCAGGACUGUUACUUUGAAAAAAUUAGAGUGUUUAAAGCAAGCAUACGCUUGAAUACAUUAGCAUGGAAUAAUGAAAUAGGACGUUUGAUUCUAUUUUGUUGGUUUCUAGGAUCGACGUAAUGAUUAAUAGGGAUAGUUGGGGGCAUUAGUAUUCAAUUGUCAGAGGUGAAAUUCUUGGAUUUAUUGAAGACUAACUACUGCGAAAGCAUUUGCCAAGGAUGUUUUCAUUAAUCAAGAACGAAAGUUAGGGGAUCGAAGACGAUCAGAUACCGUCGUAGUCUUAACCAUAAACUAUGCCGACUAGGGAUCGGAUGAUGUAUUUUAAUGACUCAUUCGGCGC